rnacentral:rRNA from 1 species
GAUGAACGCUAGCGGGAGGCCUAACACAUGCAAGCCGAGCGGUAUUGUUUCUUCGGCAAUGAGAGAGCGGCGUACGGGUGCGUAACACGUGUGCAACCUGCCUUUAUCUGGGGGAUAGCCUUUCGAAAGGAAGAUUAAUACUCCAUAAUAUAUUGAACGGCAUCGUUUAAUAUUGAAAGCUCCGGCGGAUAGAGAUGGGCACGCGCAAGAUUAGCUAGUUGGUGAGGUAACGGCUCACCAAGGCGAUGAUCUUUAGGGGGCCUGAGAGGGUGAUCCCCCACACGGGUACUGAGACACGGACCAGACUCCUACGGGAGGCAGCAGUGAGGAAUAUUGGUCAAUGGGUGCAAGCCUGAACCAGCCAUCCCGCGUGAAGGACGACUGCCCUAUGGGUUGUAAACUUCUUUUGUAUAGGGAUAAACCUACCCUCGAGAGGGUAGCUGAAGGUACUAUACGAAUAAGCACCGGCUAACUCCGUG